AAAUUAUAACAAGACUUCUUUGUUUAUCUUCUCCCUGGCUUCCGCAGCCGGUCUGAGUCGGGAUAAAUUCAGCACAGGAGGAAAAUGCAGCAUUUCCUCCCCCUCUCCUCCCAUUUUAGGUGAGAGGAGGAGGUGGCAUGGGGGAUAGAGAAAGAUCUGGCAAGCUCGCCAGCUGGUUGCCUCUUUAGAUGUGCCAUGAGGUACCGGAGGGUUUCGCAGUGAGCAGGUGGCAGUAGUUUCAGUGCUUCAUGAAGGGUUUCCAAUUGCUCAUCCGGAUCCAUAAUUUCUAA
rnacentral:lncRNA from 1 species